CCUACGGGUGGCAGCAGUGAGGAAUAUUGGUCAAUGGACGCAAGUCUGAACCAGCCAUGCCGCGUGCAGGAAGACGGCUCUAUGAGUUGUAAACUGCUUUUGUACGAGGGUAAACGCAGAUACGCGUAUCUGUCUGAAAGUAUCGUACGAAUAAGGAUCGGCUAACUCCGUGCCAGCAGCCGCGGUAAUACGGAGGAUUCAAGCGUUAUCCGGAUUUAUUGGGUUUAAAGGGUGCGUAGGCGGUCGGAUAAGUUAGAGGUGAAAUCCCGAGGCUCAACUUGGGAAUUGCCUCUGAUACUGUGCGGCUAGAGAGUAGUGGCGGUAGGCGGAAUGUAUGGUGUAGCAGUGAAAUGCGUAGAGAUCGUACAGAACACCGAUGGCGAAGGCAGCUUACCAGGCUACUACUGACGCUGAGGCACGAAGGCGUGGGGAGCAAACAGGAUUAGAUACCCGGGUAGUC
rnacentral:rRNA from 1 species